ACACACACACACCAUGACAGACACACACCUUAAAAAAGACACACACACCUUGACACACACACACACCAUAACACAGACAGACCGUGACACACAGACACACACACCACGACACAGAGAGACUGUGACACAGACACACACACACCGUGACACAGACAGACACAUAUUACAUGACACAGACAAACACACACACACACCAUGGCACACACAGACCGUGACACAGACACACAUUACAUGACAGACACACACACACACCAUGACACAGACAGACCGUGACACACAGACACACCACGACACAGAGAGACCGUGACACAGACACACACACACCGUGACAGACAGACACACAUUACAUGACACAGACAAACACAUACACACACCAUGACACACACAGACCGUGACACAGACAGACACACAUUACAUGACAGACACACAUUGCAUGACACAGACAGACGCACACACCAUGACAGACAGUGACACACACACCAUGACACAGAGACACACACAAUGACACAGACAGACACACACACACCAUGACAGACAGUGACACACACACCAUGACAGACAGUGACACACACACCAUGACACAGAGACACAAACAAUGACACAGACACACAUUGCUGACAGAGACAGACACUCACACACCAUGACACAGACAGACACACACACAC